UGGGAAAAUGAAAUGACACGCUUUACAGGUGAGGAAGCUCUACAGAUGCUCCUGGACAGCGAGGAAGAGUUCACAGUUUCUUCAGACGAAGAGCAGGACUCCGACGAUGAACGUUUUUAUUUUGAAGAGCGACUUGAUCCAGCUGAGGAUAUAAUUUCUGAAGACGGGCAUUUGCAGAAAUGCGACGGACAUUCAUACAGGAUUUACUGACAGUGAUAAGGCACCUGUUGCAAAAAGAGUCAAGACCAACAUCCAGGCAAGCAGCAGCAGGUCCAUUCUGUCAUGGAAAACAGAGGCUGAUAUUGAUGUGGUUCCACACACUUUGCGUUUCUUUCCUGCACUAAAGAUGAUCUCCAUCAGGCACUACUGGAGACAGGACGAUGUUUUCUCCGUGCCUUUUCCUGCCAGAGUAAUGUCAAGAGAGAGAUACUGCACUAUUUCAUGGAAUGUGCACAUGAGUCACCCAGAAGACCAAAAACAUGUAAUGUUCUAUUGUGUGUUCAGUUAAAUAGGAACUGUUUUGAACAAUGGCACGACAACAUUUAACUCCAUUCUCAAAGAGUUACAGUGUGUGA